UAUCACAAUAAUCAUAUGCAGGAGGAGCUAUGAUCAAAAUGUGGACAUUUUUUAAUCUCAUGAAGUAAAUAACUUGCAACCAUAUUGACAAUAGAAUGGAAAAUCACUUUGCUCUCGAGUCUAGUUCUAUCAUAACACAGUAACUUUUAUUCUUAUGCAUAAGCUGAAAGGAUGCCAACCUUGCAAAUUU